rnacentral:rRNA from 1 species
GAUGAACGCUGGCGGCGUGCCUAAUACAUGCAAGUCGAGCGAACAGAUGAGAAGCUUGCUUCUCUGAUGUUAGCGGCGGACGGGUGAGUAACACGUGGGUAACCUACCUAUAAGACUGGGAUAACUCCGGGAAACCGGGGCUAAUACCGGAUAAUAUUUUGAACCGCAUGGUUCAAUAGUGAAAGACGGUUUCGGCUGUCACUUAUAGAUGGACCCGCGCCGUAUUAGCUAGUUGGUAAGGUAACGGCUUACCAAGGCGACGAUAAGUAGCCGACCUAGGAGGGUGCUGGGCCACACUGGAACUGAGACACGGGCCAGACUCCUACGGGAGGCAGCAGUAGGGAAUCUUCCGCAAUGGGCGAAAGCCUGACGGAGCAACGCCGCUUGAGUGAUGAAGGUCUUCGGAUCGUAAAACUCUGUUGUUAGGGAAGAACAAAUUUGUUAGUAACUGAACAAGUCUUGACGGUACCUAACCAGAAAGCCACGGCUAACUACGUGCCAGCCGCCGCCGUAA